UGAUGAUUGUGAAAGUACUGGUGGAGGAGGAACAUUGCAGACAUGGUGCAUGAGUGAUUUGCUCUAUAGACCGUGGACGAGUUUUGACUCUAAGCACUACCUGACCAAUGCUUCACCACUUAAGACCUGCGAGAAAACCAUGUUAGAUUUCAACUCAACAGCAUAACGAAUCCACGACAAUUCACGACACAAUUCACCGCAAACAAUAAAUUCGUACCAAUUUCAUGCAACAUAGCACUCCUAGAAUCAACAUUAUGUGCAUCAAUUCUUGGCUUCACAUGGAAAAAGAAUCCACCGUGCAAUUGUAGUUGGAGUCAGUACAAGUCAACCUGCAUAAUCUAAUCCACCGCAUAUCCUGCGAAACAAAUUGACAGCAACCAUUACAGCCAACCGUCUUCAUAGCAGGAAAGUUCAUUUUUCAACUUAGAGUUCUAACUGAAUUCUGUGUAUAAGUGAACUUCAUUGAAAGGUUAAAAUAGAAAUUUCAUAAAAGAAUUCAACACACAUAACUAACUGAGUUUCCCUAACAUAACUAACUGAGUUUUCAAUUAACUCAUUGAGUUAAGUUUAACUAACUCCAAGCCACCCUCAACUAAUACCUAACCUCAAUCCGAAGCUAGAAAAUCCCGAGCCUUAACUCUAUUUAAGGGAUUGAUCACUCACACUUUGAGCCCUUGGCAUUUUUUGGCUUAAACCUACACUCUCUCUUGCAACCUUCUCCCUCACCCUCACCAGAGCUCUUUUUCUCUUUCAAAGAAGUCAUUGAAGCUUCGAUUUCUCUUUCAAAGAAGUCAUUGAAGCUUCGCAUCGAAGCGUUAAUUCUGCUUGAGCUAAGCCUCCUCAGUCUCUUUUCACCGCUCAUGAAUUCAGAAGAAGAAGAAAGGAGAAGAAGAAACUGUAGAAAGCACACAAAGAAAGUCACCUGUGAACGACAUCGACGACACCGGAACCUCUGGGUCGCUUCAUUCUGGUAAGUCGCUUCAGUUAUCGUAACUCAUAUACAUGGUGUCAUUCCAUUAGUUGAUGCGAUUUGCUAGUCUUGUUUCCGGGAUGUUCUUGACGUGGGUUGACGCGGAAAGAGUGGAAUUAGGGCUCGAAUUAUCAAAUUGCAAUUCCUCCGAUCUCUUUCUGUUUCGUUCCAUGAUUCCGUGCUCCACCAUUUUCAUUGGAUUUCUUCAAUCCCUUCCAUGCUUCGACCCUCGAAACUGCUUUGUUCUACCCCCAAUCUUCAAUCAACUUCAACCAUAGGUUCACCUCAUCCUCUUCCACUCUUCAACCAUCAAACGGCAAUGAUAAAGUGACACACAAGCUCAACGUAGCAGCCGCAAUCAUGUACCAAAUUGCAGGAGCAGAAGCGUAGAUAAGCAGAGAUUUCAUAACCGUUUUCACCAC
rnacentral:lncRNA from 1 species